GAAAUGCGAUAAGUAAUGUGAAUUGCAGAAUUCAGUGAACCAUCGAAUCUUUGAACGCACAUUGCGCCCCCUGGCACUCCGGGGGGCACGCCUGUCCGAGCGUCAUCUCAACCCCUCAGGCUCGCGCCUGGUGACGGGGGAGACGCGCCCACCCGAUUGUCCUCCCCCGAGUGGGGCGCAGGGCCGGGUCGGGUGCCCCCCCCGAGAUGCAGCGGUGACCUCGAGGUCCGACGGAGAGCGAGCAAGGCCCAGCCCGUCGCCGUCCCGUCGGGCCCUGAGGCCGAAGAGAUCGGGGGUCAGCCCCACGGCCACCCCCCAACCAGCGACCUUGACCUCGGAUCAGGCGGGGCCACCCGCUGAACUUAAGC
rnacentral:misc_RNA from 1 species